rnacentral:rRNA from 1 species
GGACUACCCGGGUUUCUAAUCCUGUUUGCUCCCCUAGCUUUCGUCCCUCAGCGUCAGAAAUGAUCCAGCGAGCCGCCUUCGCCUCGGAUGUUCCUGCGGAUAUCUACGCAUUUCACCGCUACACCCGCAAUUCCACUCGCCUCUCUCAUCCUCUAGCGCGGCAGUUUCGGAAGCAGCCUCUGAGUUAAGCCCAGAGAUUUCACUUCCGACUUGCCGCACCGCCUACGGACCCUUUACGCCCAGUAAUUCCGAGCAACGCUGGCCCCCUACGUAUUACCGCGGCUGCUGGCAC